AGGAUGAACGCUGGCGGCGUGCCUAACACAUGCAAGUCGAACGUCCUGUCUCGCAAGAGGCAGGGAGUGGCGGACGGGUGAGUACCACGUGGGUCAUCUACCGUGAGGUGAGGAAUACCGGCGAGAAAUCGCCGACAAGACCGCAUAGGCUCGAUGCAAGUCGAGCAAAGCUCUUUCGAGAGAGGGAGCGCCACACGAGGAGCCUGCGCCCGAUUAGCUAGCUGGUGGAGUAACGGUUCACCAGGGCGACGAUCGGUAGCUGGUCUGAGAGGACGAUCAGCCACACUGGGAUUGAGAACGGCCCAGACUCCUACGGGGGGCAGCAGUGAGGAAUUUUCGUCAAUGGGGGCAACCCUGAACGAGCAACGCCGCGUGCAGGAGAAGGUUUCGGAUCGUAAACUGCUUUUUCGGGGAAGUAGAACGGACGGUACCGAGGAAUCAGCCCGGCUAACUACGUGCCAGCAGCCGC
rnacentral:rRNA from 1 species